AGAGUUUGAUCCUGGCUCAGGAUGAACGCUAGCUACAGGCUUAACACAUGCAAGUCGAGGGGCAGCAUGCAGGAAGCUUGCUUUCUGCGAUGGCGACCGGCGGAUGGGUGAGUAACGCGUAUCCAACCUGCCCCGUGCUCGGGGACAGCCCUUAGAAAUGAGGAUUAACCCCCGAUGGCGUAGGGAUCCCGCAUGGUAUUCCUACUAAAGUUUACGGCACGGGAUGGGGAUGCGUUCCAUUAGAUAGUAGGCGGGGCAACGGCCCACCUAGUCGACGAUGGAUAGGGGUUCUGAGAGGAAGGUCCCCCACAUUGGAACUGAGACACGGUCCAAACUCCUACGGGAGGCAGCAGUGAGGAAUAUUGGUCAAUGGACGCGAGCCUGAACCAGCCAAGUAGCGUGGAGGAUGAAUGCCCUACGGGUUGUAACUCCUUUGGCGAGGAUAAAGAGUGCCACGCGUGGCAAGUGCAGGUAUCCGCCGAAUAAGGGCCGGCUAAUCGUGCCAGCAGCCGCGUAAUACGGAAGGCCCGAGCGUAUCCGGAUUUAUUGGGUUUAAAGGGAGCGUAGGCGGGAGAUCAAGUCAGCUGUGAAACUGCGCCGCUCAACGGCGCCGAGCAGUUGAAACUGGUUUCCUUGAGUCCGCAAGAGGCGCGUGGAAUUCGUGGUGUAGCGGUGAAAUGCAUAGAUAUCACGAAGAACUCCGAUUGCGAAGGCAGCGCGCUGGGGCGUCACUGACGCUGAAGCUCGAAGGUGCGGGUAUCGAACAGGAUUAGAUACCCUGGUAGUCCGCACAGUGAACGAUGGAUGCCCGCGGUCUGUGCUUAGUCAUGGGCCGCCAAGCGAAAGCGUUAAGCAUCCCACCUGGGGAGUACGCCGGCAACGGUGAAACUCAAGGAAUUGACGGGGGCCCGCACAAGCGGAGGAACAUGUGGUUUAAUUCGAUGAUACGCGAGGAACCUUACCCGGGCUUGAAAAGUCCGCCGCGGAGACCAGAGACGGUCUCCUCCUUCGGGGGCGGAUGUAGGUGCUGCAUGGUUGUCGUCAGCUCGUGCCGUGAGGUGUCGGCUCAAGUGCCAUAACGAGCGCAACCCCUACCGCCGGUUACCAUCGGGUAAUGCCGGGGACUCCGGCGGCACUGCCAUCGCAAGAUGCGAGGAAGGCGGGGAUGACGUCAAAUCAGCACGGCCCUUACGUCCGGGGCUACACACGUGUUACAAUGGGGGGUACAGAGGGCCGUAUCCGGGCGACCGGUGUCCAAUCCCGAAAUCCCCUCCCAGUUCGGACUGGAGUCUGCAACCCGACUCCACGAAGCUGGAUUCGCUAGUAAUCGCGCAUCAGCCAUGGCGCGGUGAAUACGUUCCCGGGCCUUGUACACACCGCCCGUCAAGCCAUGGAAGCUGGGGGUACCUGAAGUCGGUGACCGUAAAAGGAGCUGCCUAGGGUAAAACUAGUAACUAGGGCUAAGUCGUAACAAGGUAACC
rnacentral:rRNA from 1 species